UCAGCGAGUGAAGGGCAUGGAGAGCCCGGA
rnacentral:sRNA from 1 species